rnacentral:rRNA from 1 species
AUUUGCAACCAGUUCACUUCUGGGGACUCUGAUCUCAUCAGGUCUCUCCUAAUUAAGCAGGGGAGGGCUUGUUUAGUAUUUGGAUGGGAGAUCUCUGAGAUAACUUAGGGUGCUCCAGGAU